rnacentral:misc_RNA from 1 species
AGCAAACAAAUAAUUCAUAUUCUCCUAUAAUCAAAUUCAACUGUAGAAUAUCCCACCAAAUUAGCAUGCACUCCUGAAAUCCAAUAAAAAGACAACCCCAGAAGCAUCUAAAAAUACCACAAACUAGAUUAUUUACAAUUGCAGCAAUGAAUAUCCUCAUGAAUUUAACUUUUAGGAGCCUCAAAGGAGCUUUCUACUAAGUGUAGAACAAGACAACACCAGUAGAACCAAUGGCUUAACCAAAAACUUCACAGUCAAUUCCCUUUGUCGUGAGAGCCCACCAUACCUAGUUUCCAACUGUGGUAUAGAUGCAGUUUCUUUCCCACAACAAUAAAUCUAAAAAAGCAUAUCCACAAAACUUCACUUCAAU